AUUGCAGAAUCCCGUGAACCAUCGAGUCUUUGAACGCAAGUUGCGCCCGAAGCCAUUAGGCCGAGGGCACGUCUGCCUGGGCGUCACGC
rnacentral:rRNA from 1 species